rnacentral:rRNA from 1 species
UACGUAGGUGGCAAGCGAUACUUGGAAUCACUAGGCGUAAAGCGCAGGUAGGAGGUUUGGUAAGUCUGUUGUGAAAGCUCCCGGCUUAACUGGGAGAGGUCAACGGAAACUACCAGGCUAGAGUGCGGUAGAGGUAGCUGGAAUUCCCGGUGUAGCGGUGAAAUGCGUAGAUAUCGGGAGGAAUACCUAUGGCGAAAGCAGGCUACUGGACCGUCACUGACUCUGAUCUGCGAAAGCUAGGGGAGCAAACAGG